rnacentral:misc_RNA from 1 species
GAAAUGCGAUAAGUAAUGUGAAUUGCAGAAUUCAGUGAAUCAUCGAAUCUUUGAACGCACAUUGCGCCCGCCAGAAUUCUGGCGGGCAUGCCUGUUCGAGCGUCAUUUCAACCCUCGAGCUCCCCUUUCGGGUGGAGCCCGGCGUUGGGGACCCGGCGCUAACAACGCCGGCCCCGAAAUGGAGUGGCGGCCCGUCCGCGGCGACCUCUGCGUAGUAACAACCACUCGCACCGGGACCCGGGCGCGGCCACGCCGUAAAACACCCCACCUUCCGAAUGUUGACCUCGAAUCAGGUAGGAAUACCCGCUGAACUUAAGC